GGAGAGGUGGCAGAGUGGUCGAAUGCGCCUGACUUGAAAUCAGGUGAACCGAAAGGUUCCGGGGGUUCGAAUCCCCCCCUCUCCG
rnacentral:tRNA from 1 species